rnacentral:rRNA from 1 species
CUCGGAGUUUGAUCCUGGCUCAGAUUGAACGCUGGCGGAAUGCUUUACACAUGCAAGUCGAACGGUAGAGGGGGCAACCCCUUGAGAGUGGCGAACGGGUGAGUAAUGUAUCGGAACGUGCCCAGUCGUGGGGGAUAAUGUAGUGAAAGUUACGCUAAUACCGCAUACGAUCUACGGAUGAAAGCGGGGGACUCGCAAGAGCCUCGCGCGAUUGGAGCGGCCGAUAUCAGAUUAGGUAGUUGGUGAGGUAAAGGCUCACCAAGCCAACGAUCUGUAGCUGGUCUGAGAGGACGACCAGCCACACUGGAACUGAGACACGGUCCAGACUCCUACGGGAGCAGCAGUGGGGAAUUUUGGACAAUGGACGCAAGUCUGAUCCCAGCCCAUU